rnacentral:rRNA from 1 species
UGGGGAAUAUUGGACAAUGGGGGAAACCCUGAUCCAGCGACGCCGCGUGGGUGAAGAAGGCCUGCGGGUUGUAAAGCCCUUUCGGUUGGGAAGAACAGUAUUGACCUAACACGUUAGUACCUUGACGUAACCAACAAAAGAAGCACCGGCUAACUCUGUGCCAGCAGCCGCGGUAAUACAGAGGGUGCAAGCGUUAAUCGGAAUUACUGGGCGUAAAGCGCGCGUAGGCGGCUUGACAAGUCGAGUGUGAAAUCCCCGGGCUUAACCUGGGAGCUGCAUUCGAAACUGUCUUGCUAGAGUAUGGGAGAGGGAGGUGGAAUUUCAGGUGUAGCGGUGAAAUGCGUAGAUAUCUGAAGGAACAUCAGUGGCGAAAGCGACCUCCUGGACCAAUACUGACGCUCAGGUGCGAAAGCGUGGGGAGCAAACAGGAUUAGAUACCCCCGUAGUCC